rnacentral:rRNA from 1 species
AGUGAACGCUGGCGGUAGGCCUAACACAUGCAAGUCGAACGGCAGCACAGUAAGAGCUUGCUCUUACGGGUGGCGAGUGGCGGACGGGUGAGGAAUACAUCGGAAUCUACUUUUUCGUGGGGGAUAACGUAGGGAAACUUACGCUAAUACCGCAUACGACCUACGGGUGAAAGCAGGGGUUCUUCGGACCUUGCGCGAUUGAAUGAGCCGAUGUCGGAUUAGCUAGUUGGCGGGGUAAAGGCCCACCAAGGCGACGAUCCGUAGCUGGUCUGAGAGGAUGAUCAGCCACACUGGAACUGAGACACGGUCCAGACUCCUACGGGAGGCAGCAGUGGGGAAUAUUGGACAAUGGGCGCAAGCCUGAUCCAGCCAUACCACGUGGGUGAAGAAGGCCUUCGGGUUGUAAAGCCCUUUUGUUGGGAAAGAAAAGCAGCAGGUUAAUACCCCGCUGUUCUGACGGUACCCAAAGAAUAAGCACCGGCUAACUUCGUG